rnacentral:rRNA from 1 species
UUAAGCGACUAAGCGUACACGGUGGAUGCCCUGGCAGUCAGAGGCGAUGAAGGACGUGCUAAUCUGCGAUAAGCGUCGGUAAGGUGAUAUGAACCGUUAUAACCGGCGAUUUCCGAAUGGGGAAACCCAGUGUGUUUCGACACACUAUCAUUAACUGAAUCCAUAGGUUAAUGAGGCGAACCGGGGGAACUGAAACAUCUAAGUACCCCGAGGAAAAGAAAUCAACCGAGAUUCCCCCAGUAGCGGCGAGCGAACGGGGAGCAGCCCAGAGCCUGAAUCAGUGUGUGUGUUAGUGGAAGCGUCUGGAAAGGCGCGCGAUACAGGGUGACAGCCCCGUACACAAAAAUGCACAUGCUGUGAGCUCGAUGAGUAGGGCGGGACACGUGGUAUCCUGUCUGAAUAUGGGGGGACCAUCCUCCAAGGCUAAAUACUCCUGACUGACCGAUAGUGAACCAGUACCGUGAGGGAAAGGCGAAAAGAACCCCGGCGAGGGGAGUGAAAAAGAACCUGAAACCGUGUACGUACAAGCAGUGGGAGCCUCUUUUAUGGGGUGACUGCGUACCUUUUGUAUAAUGGGUCAGCGACUUAUAUUCUGUAGCAAGGUUAACCGAAUAGGGGAGCCGAAGGGAAACCGAGUCUUAACUGGGCGUUAAGUUGCAGGGUAUAGACCCGAAACCCGGUGAUCUAGCCAUGGGCAGGUUGAAGGUUGGGUAACACUAACUGGAGGACCGAACCGACUAAUGUUGAAAAAUUAGCGGAUGACUUGUGGCUGGGGGUGAAAGGCCAAUCAAACCGGGAGAUAGCUGGUUCUCCCCGAAAGCUAUUUAGGUAGCGCCUCGUGAACUCAUCUCCGGGGGUAGAGCACUGUUUCGGCAAGGGGGUCAUCCCGACUUACCAACCCGAUGCAAACUGCGAAUACCGGAGAAUGUUAUCACGGGAGACACACGGCGGGUGCUAACGUCCGUCGUGAAGAGGGAAACAACCCAGACCGCCAGCUAAGGUCCCAAAGUCAUGGUUAAGUGGGAAACGAUGUGGGAAGGCCCAGACAGCCAGGAUGUUGGCUUAGAAGCAGCCAUCAUUUAAAGAAAGCGUAAUAGCUCACUGGUCGAGUCGGCCUGCGCGGAAGAUGUAACGGGGCUAAACCAUGCACCGAAGCUGCGGCAGCGACACUGUGUGUUGUUGGGUAGGGGAGCGUUCUGUAAGCCUGCGAAGGUGUGCUGUGAGGCAUGCUGGAGGUAUCAGAAGUGCGAAUGCUGACAUAAGUAACGAUAAAGCGGGUGAAAAGCCCGCUCGCCGGAAGACCAAGGGUUCCUGUCCAACGUUAAUCGGGGCAGGGUGAGUCGACCCCUAAGGCGAGGCCGAAAGGCGUAGUCGAUGGGAAACAGGUUAAUAUUCCUGUACUUGGUGUUACUGCGAAGGGGGGACGGAGAAGGCUAUGUUGGCCGGGCGACGGUUGUCCCGGUUUAAGCGUGUAGGCUGGUUUUCCAGGCAAAUCCGGAAAAUCAAGGCUGAGGCGUGAUGACGAGGCACUACGGUGCUGAAGCAACAAAUGCCCUGCUUCCAGGAAAAGCCUCUAAGCAUCAGGUAACAUCAAAUCGUACCCCAAACCGACACAGGUGGUCAGGUAGAGAAUACCAAGGCGCUUGAGAGAACUCGGGUGAAGGAACUAGGCAAAAUGGUGCCGUAACUUCGGGAGAAGGCACGCUGAUAUGUAGGUGAAGUCCCUCGCGGAUGGAGCUGAAAUCAGUCGAAGAUACCAGCUGGCUGCAACUGUUUAUUAAAAACACAGCACUGUGCAAACACGAAAGUGGACGUAUACGGUGUGACGCCUGCCCGGUGCCGGAAGGUUAAUUGAUGGGGUUAGCGCAAGCGAAGCUCUUGAUCGAAGCCCCGGUAAACGGCGGCCGUAACUAUAACGGUCCUAAGGUAGCGAAAUUCCUUGUCGGGUAAGUUCCGACCUGCACGAAUGGCGUAAUGAUGGCCAGGCUGUCUCCACCCGAGACUCAGUGAAAUUGAACUCGCUGUGAAGAUGCAGUGUACCCGCGGCAAGACGGAAAGACCCCGUGAACCUUUACUAUAGCUUGACACUGAACAUUGAGCCUUGAUGUGUAGGAUAGGUGGGAGGCUUAGAAGUGUGGACGCCAGUCUGCAUGGAGCCGACCUUGAAAUACCACCCUUUAAUGUUUGAUGUUCUAACGUUGACCCGUAAUCCGGGUUGCGGACAGUGUCUGGUGGGUAGUUUGACUGGGGCGGUCUCCUCCUAAAGAGUAACGGAGGAGCACGAAGGUUGGCUAAUCCUGGUCGGACAUCAGGAGGUUAGUGCAAUGGCAUAAGCCAGCUUGACUGCGAGCGUGACGGCGCGAGCAGGUGCGAAAGCAGGUCAUAGUGAUCCGGUGGUUCUGAAUGGAAGGGCCAUCGCUCAACGGAUAAAAGGUACUCCGGGGAUAACAGGCUGAUACCGCCCAAGAGUUCAUAUCGACGGCGGUGUUUGGCACCUCGAUGUCGGCUCAUCACAUCCUGGGGCUGAAGUAGGUCCCAAGGGUAUGGCUGUUCGCCAUUUAAAGUGGUACGCGAGCUGGGUUUAGAACGUCGUGAGACAGUUCGGUCCCUAUCUGCCGUGGGCGCUGGAGAACUGAGGGGGGCUGCUCCUAGUACGAGAGGACCGGAGUGGACGCAUCACUGGUGUUCGGGUUGUCAUGCCAAUGGCACUGCCCGGUAGCUAAAUGCGGAAGAGAUAAGUGCUGAAAGCAUCUAAGCACGAAACUUGCCCCGAGAUGAGUUCUCCCUGACUCCUUGAGAGUCCUGAAGGAACGUUGAAGACGACGACGUUGAUAGGCCGGGUGUGUAAGCGCAGCGAUGCGUUGAGCUAACCGGUACUAAUGAACCGUGAGGCUUAACCUU